ensembl:ncRNA mir-4979 mir-4979 stem loop
CAUAGGUGUUAUAUCUAGGCCAAAUAUAUAUACUUGUUCUAUGUAUUAGUUAUUUGCAAAGGAAUACAUGUGCCUGUAUAUAUAUUCGGUAAAAUCACAUCUUUGAAUU